AAAGCGUGCGUAGGCGGAAAUGUAAGUCAGAAGUGAAAGCCCAGGGCUUAACCCUGGAACUGCUUUUGAGACUGCAAUUCUAGAAUUCGGUAGAGGCUAGUGGAAUGUCCAGUGUAGAGGUGAAAUUCGCAGAUAUUGGACGGAACACCAGUGGCGAAGGCGACUAGCUGGGCCGAUAUUGACGCUGAGGCACGAAAGCGUGGGUAGCAAACAGGAUUAGAUACCCUAGU
rnacentral:rRNA from 1 species